UCACGCGACCUCAACCACGGUCUCCAUGAUUAGAGCACUGGGAAGGGAACCUUCCUCCUGCCCCCGCAACCUCCCUUCCCAACACUCCUCUCCGCACGCCGCCAAGUCCGCAGCACCUCGCACCGGCACUGCACCGCCCGGCCCCGCCGCCUCCGCACCAUCUCACACUGCCAUCUUGCCGCCCCCGCCUACCUCGCAGUCGCCUUGCUGCCUCACCUCACACCGGAGCCGCGUCUCCGCCCCGCACCACCUCGCCUCGCGUCGGCGCCCGACACGUACGCCCAUCAUUACCGUCGACGUUGUAUUACCACGGCCACCCCUACUGCGGCCGUCGUCUCCACAUCGGUGCCACGCUGGCAGGUGGAUCUGGUCGACUUCAUCGACUGGACUGGCGUCAAGUGGGUCAACCAGGACUCCUCUCACAACAUCACCGGCGCGAGGUGAGGUGAGGUGAUCGUCCUCUGUGCGUCCUGGGCAGCACUCUCGCUCUCACACCUCCAUCCCCUGUUCUUGAGCUGAUGAAGUGAUUUUUUUAGUUUCUAGAUCUAAUUUAACUUGUCUACGUUGAUAAUUUCUUACGAUAUAGGAGCUUGAUGGCAGCAUGCCUCACCUGAUCUUUUGUCCCCAAAUCUCAGACAACAAUACGCGGCUAACAAACCAUUGACGUACGCACUCUAUGAUUUUGCAUAGUAUCAAUGGACGCGAUGACCCGAUUAUCGCUAGUGCCAUCUCUGAUUUCUAUGGAUGAGCUUGGCUGUAAACCGCCGCCAGCCACUUCUGCCCUGGAUCAGUCGUCCGGCUAAUGUGAUAUUUCACAUGCUCAACACACUUAUGUUCUUCUUACUAUUAUGAUAGCUAAGUUUUGCAGUAUUAUGUGGCUAUAUAGCUAAGACCGCUUGCAAUUUCAACUGUACAGUUCUCAUCAAUUUCAAUAAGGAAACAAAAUAAUCUUUAUAUUUCUCUUUCAUCCAACUGGGUCAUCCUCAAAAUACUAUUUUGUACAAAUUUUUCCAGGUGUGACAUAUGUAAAUGUAAAUGGGACUGCAACUCGAUCAUCAUUGAGUAGCAUCCUUUCAGGAGAUGUGAGUAUAAAGGAUUCAAAAAGUACAAUAAAGGUCAAAAAUAUUGGGCAGCUGGUAUCCAGUGUGCCCCUAGAGGCACAUUCCAUUUCUUCAAUACAUGAUACAAUGUGGCCGAUGUUGGUUUGUUUCUCUUCCUGGUGACUUCUUUUUAUUUAUUUAUUACAAGUCGUGAUCCUGGAUGACUUCCUUCAUUAUACUAAUCUGAAAGCCAAGUUUGAUUUAGUUGAGUUCUUGCACGCAACUCCUCAUGCAAUGAAUGAGUAAGGCAAUUUUGAAAGUGAAGGAUCAUCAAUAUAGUUUUUUUGCUGCUUUUGUCACAUGCUUAUCUUUGACGACAAGCUCUUUAUUAUGCAUUGUAGUCCGGCGGAUGUCUCUUACAUUGGUAUUUAACUUUAUAUAUUUGAGCUAUGUCUCUAUUUUUUUUUGCAACAACAAAUGAAGACUGACAUUCAUUCGAGGCUGCUUCUGCUUUUCAGACAUAGUGGGGACAUUUAAGAUUUAUAGCAAAUAUAUGAGAGUCGAGAAAUGAACAUAACCUCAAGUUAUAUUUUCUAUUGUAACUAGACAUAUAAAAUAAAAUGUUUCUUCAUUUUUCACUCAUCAAGGUUUCCAAGUGCCAAAAACAGUAGAUAUACAAAGUAACUAUGGAAACCUAGAUAGAAAUAUUAUAUUUCUUUGAUGGGCCCCAGUUUCAUAUGAGGAAAACAAAUCAGGUGUGUUCCUUCUAUGUCUAAUUUGUAUAAGUGCAGAUUUUCAUGAAAGUUUUUUUAUUAGGCGGAAAUGGUUGACUUAUUCAACCAACUAUCAUGCACCCAUCAUUCAGAUAUGUUCAUAUGCAUUUCUUUCUUUUUUAGGCUUGGAGAGUUAUACUUGGAAAUUGAUGUUGGCCAAAGUUACUUCAAUGGAAUGGUGCCAGUAUGUGAUUUAAAUAUACUUGAAGAACAUUUACCUUAUUUUUCAGGUUUUAGUAACCAUUUUUUGUUGGUUGUCAAUAUUGCUACAUGGGUACUUGGGUUGCUGUACUGGGCACAUCUUAGUUCAAUCACUAUCUAUAGUUUCAGCUCAUUAGCUCAUGAAUUACCUUUGAAAGUAUGGUACCAUGUCAUAUAAUGAAUAUAAUCCUGGUUGUUUUUUGUUGUCAUUUUCUUACAAUGGCAGUAAGUACUAUUAUAUACGGCAAUAUGAGACAUGCUUGUGAAGUGGCAUUUCUAUUUAGUGAUUUACUGCGAGGUAUUAUCGAUCUCCUAUGUUGAGUGUCGACAGAUGGGAAAUUUAAAUUCUGUCGCUUGGGCAAUAUGAGUACUUGGGUUGCUAUACUGGGCACAUCUUAUUUCAAUCACUAUCUAUAGUUUCAGCUCAUUAUAUUAGCUAAUGAAUUACCUUGGAAAGUAUGGUACCAUGUCAUAUAAUGAAUAUAAUCCCGGUUUUUUGUUGUUCUCAUUUUCUUACACCGACAGUAAGUACUAUUAUAUAUUGCAAUAUGAGAUAUGCUUGUGAAGUGGCAUUUCUCUUUAGUGAUUUACUGCAAGGUAUUAUCGAUCUCCUAUGUUGAGUGUCGACAAAUGGGAAAUUUAAAUUCAGUAUGAAUCUGGAUGAAGAGGAGGCAGAUAACAUAAUCUUGGUGAAGAUAUUUCAAUGGAGACAACAUAGUGUUGCAUUUUUAGUAGACCAAUAGAAAAUUGUAUUGCUUGGUUGUUACAUCCCCUUUUCAAUGUAUUUUUUUACCCAUUAUUGCCAUGGAAUAGAUGAUAUCUAACAAUCAAGUUCGAAGUUACUAUAAAAAUAUCAUAAAAUGGUCGGGCAUUGUUGUCCACUACAUUAUGUUCCA